AAACUGGAAGAAAUAAAUAGUUAUCUUCAUAUGUAAGUGAGUGCUCAAUGAGGAAACAUCAUUUUGUCAGAACGAUAAUAAUAAAAUUCGUCAUAAAUAAAUUUUAAAUUUUCAAUGAUACGUACUAUACAAUCUAAAGCUGAAGAAACACAAAACUGAAUCCGAUUGGAUCAACAAUUAAGAUAAAAAUGUUUAUUAUCAUAUUAUUAUUUAUUCUUGUUGCAUAUUUGGUGUUUCAUUGUUACUUUCAUUAUGGACCAAAA
rnacentral:lncRNA from 13 species